rfam:Ixodes scapularis strain Wikel colony gcontig_1107729195524, whole genome shotgun sequence.
UCAUGGUUAGCUCAAUUGGUAAAGCGCUCCACUGGAAAAGCAUCGGUCCCUGGUUCGAUACCAGGACCAUGAA